rnacentral:tRNA from 1 species
AAUGAAAUGCCUGACAAAAAGGGUUAUCUUGAUAGGGUAAAUUAUGUAUAAAUUAUACUUUCAUUAC